GCAGUCGUGGCCGAGUGGUUGAGGCGAUGGACUAGAAAUCUAUUGGGGUCUCCCCGCACAGCUUCGAGUCCUGUCGACAGCG
rnacentral:tRNA from 2 species